rnacentral:rRNA from 1 species
GACGAACGCUGGCGGCGUGCUUAACACAUGCAAGUCGAACGGAAAGACCCUGCUUUUGUGGGGUGCUCGAGUGGCGAACGGGUGUGUAACACGUGAGUAACCUGCCCUUGACUUUGGGAUAACUUCAGGAAACUGGGGCUAAUACCGGAUAGGAGCUCCUGCUGCAUGGUGGGGGUUGGAAAGUUUCGGCGGUUGGGGAUGGACUCGCGGCUUAUCAGCUUGUUGGUGGGGUAGUGGCUUACCAAGGCUUUGACGGGUAGCCGGCCUGAGAGGGUGACCGGCCACAUUGGGACUGAGAUACGGCCCAGACUCCUACGGGAGGCAGCAGUGGGGAAUAUUGCACAAUGGGCGGAAGCCUGAUGCAGCAACGCCGCGUGCGGGAUGACGGCCUUCGGGUUGUAAACCGCUUUCGCCUGUGACGAAGCGUGAGUGACGGUAAUGGGUAAAGAAGCACCGGCUAACUACGUG